rnacentral:lncRNA from 1 species
UGCAGCUGUGGGAAUUUUAACUCCUGUAAUUUUUUUUUUUUUCCUUCUGACAGGUUUUAUUUUAAAGCAGAAAAACAUCAUUUCAUAAAACUUCAUUUAAGUCCCCUGCUCCAAACCUUCAUGACUCUCAUUUUUCACAGAAAGGGAGAAUAAUGGGAUUGGAGUCAGCCCAUCUGUAUAAACUAUUUACCCAGAACUCCUGAUGGGGUAAAACCACAGAGAAGUGCUCUCUGCUCUUUGUUAUUGGCACACAGAGAAAGCCAGCCCUCAGAAAGCUUCAGCUGCAUCAACUUUCAUCUCAGCACUUCCCUACUGAUGCUUUUGAGCCAUCAGAACAGGAAGAACCAGAAGGACUCCAAACAAAGUGAAGGUUCUUCCAGAAGCUGAAGAGCAUGAGAGGAAUUUUGGGUUAGCUCCAAGAGAGCCUCUUUUGUCACAGAACCAAGCAGAGCUGAAACAAUCAUCGCUGGCUGAACUCAAGGACGGGGUUGGGCAGUGUUCCCAAGAGGCUGAAGCCUCUCUGCAAGCCCUCUUGGAAGGUGCUGCACAACGAAAACCAUGCACCAAGCAGAGAGGUGGUAGCUAAAAGCAUACAUGCCUCCUGCAGGCUCUUUUUGAAAGAACCAGGAAGACUGUCUACAGUUUUCUCUCAUUUAAGACAAAUGCAGUCCUGAUGGCUGUGGCCUGAAGGGAAGAGCUGCCUUCCUGCCAGAAGAGGAGCAGAACUGUUAAUAUCUGGCAACAGGAGAGAGGCAAAGGGAUGGCUCUGAGACACAGUUUGCUGCUGGUGUACAAGGUUAACUGCUGUGAAUGUUCCAAACUGCAUAUCCACAUCCUGCUCCCUGUGAGAAGCAGAGAAAUGCCACACAUUUUCAGUUGUCAUCUGAGAGGGAUCCUACACACUGGCUCUGGAGGUAAACUGCCUUUGGUCAGAACAGCUUGGGUCUGGACUCAAAUGGAUGCUUUACAGAGCAGAGGUAUCCAAAGACAGGUUUGUUGGUUUGACUCAUCUUUCAUUCAGCUCAUUGUGCUGUUCCAAAAGACUGCUGAUAAAUGGAAAUAUGCUUUUAAGUCUUAUAUAAUUUGUAUACUUAUAUGAUUUAUGGGUGAUCUAAAGCUCAAAACUGCCAGUGGAGCUACAGAAAUGCUUGAGAGGAACAGGCCUCCUUGUCACCAGAGGCAACCUAUACAAGAUUUGCACUCUGGUGCUAAAAGUAUGUCUAUUUCUGCAAAUAUUUUACUGAAACAAGCAACUUCAUAUACAUAAGUAGUCAACUUCAAACAAGAACACUAAUUGUACUGAUGAGGCUCAGCAGGACUGAAACAAGAAUUAUGAAAAGACUUUUCUUCCUGUUCUAUCAAAAAUGGUUUAAUUUCUUACAAUGGGUUGAAAAUUAAAAAGAAUGAAGGAAGGAGUUGUACAUAACUUCAGGGUAAUGUUUGUGCAACUGAGAAAUGCUGGUUGAUGUCAAAGCAUUUCUGUGUUACUAAAUAUCACAGCAUAGGUGUAACCUGCCGCAGGAAAAUGUUUGAAGAGAAAGAUUGAUAGCAGGAAAGGCACAAUGGACCGAUUGAGUACUGUGAGGGAAGGGCAUUUAUGACUUACCAGGAAGGAUUUACUUUUAACUUAGGCUAGAUUUUGAUGAAUAUUUCCUUUGAUGGAAAGUGCUGGAUAAAUCAACUUUGUAAGGAGGAAAAGAAGCUGGUUUUGAUCUUAGUUAUUUCUCCAGCCUAGCUCACUGUGUGACAGCGCAAGUUAAAAUGCAUAACAAAAAGCAGUGGCAAGAAGGGCAGGUGAAAGUGAAGUUAGGGCUUAUCAAAGUGUGUCUGAGCUGGCCCCCCAUGGAGGAAAGCCUCUUUAGAGAGACAUGUACCAACAGAGGCAUAGGCAGGCAGAAUGGGUGCAUUGAGAGCCCUUUGAGCAAACCCAGACCGUGCUUGGUAGGAGGGAGAGGCAGGGAGGAAACCUAAACAGAGAAAUAAAUGCUUAAUGAAGUUUCUGCUGUUAGCA